rnacentral:rRNA from 1 species
UACGUAGGGUGCGAGCGUUGUCCGGAAUUAUUGGGCGUAAAGAGCUCGUAGGCGGUUUGUCGCGUCGUUCGUGAAAACUCACAGCUUAACUGUGAGCUUGCGGUCGAUACGGGCAGGCUAGAGUUCGGUAGGGGAGACUGGAAUUCCUGGUGUAGCGGUGAAAUGCGCAGAUAUCAGGAGGAACACCGAUGCGAAGGCAGGUCUCUGGGCACUACUGAC